rnacentral:rRNA from 1 species
UACGGAGGAUCCAAGCGUUAUCCGGAUUUAUUGGGUUUAAAGGGUGCGUAGGCGGGCUAAUAAGUCAGAGGUGAAAUCCUGCAGCUUAACUGUAGAAUUGCCUUUGAUACUGUUAGUCUUGAGUAUACAUGAAGUGGGCGGAAUGUGUCAUGUAGCGGUGAAAUGCAUAGAUAUGACACAGAACACCGAUAGCGAAGGCAGCUCACUAAACUAUAACUGACGCUGAUGCACGAAAGCGUGGGGAUCAAACAGG